CCUGAUGCAGCAACGCCGCGUGAGGGAUGACGGCCUUCGGGUUGUAAACCUCUUUUAGUAGGGAAGAAGCGAAAGUGACGGUACCUGCAGAAAAAGCACCGGCUAACUACGUGCCAGCAGCCGCGGUAAUACGUAGGGUGCAAGCGUUGUCCGGAAUUAUUGGGCGUAAAGAGCUCGUAGGCGGUUUGUCGCGUCUGCUGUGAAAUCCCGAGGCUCAACCUCGGGCUUGCAGUGGGUACGGGCAGACUAGAGUGCGGUAGGGGAGAUUGGAAUUCCUGGUGUAGCGGUGGAAUGCGCAGAUAUCAGGAGGAACACCGAUGGCGAAGGCAGAUCUCUGGGCCGUAACUGACGCUGAGGAGCGAAAGCAUGGGGAGCGAACAGGAUUAGAUACCCUGGUAGUCCAUGCCGUAAACGUUGGGCGCUAGAUGUAGGGACCUUUCCACGGUUUCUGUGUCGUAGCUAACGCAUUAAGCGGCCCGCCUGGGGAGUACGGCCGCAAGGCUAAAACUCAAAGGAAUUGACGGGGGCCCGCACAAGCGGCGGAGCAUGCGGAUUAAUUCGAUGCAACGCGAAGAACCUUACCAAGGCUUGACAUACACCGGAAACGGCCAGAGAUGGUCGCCCCCUUGUGGUC
rnacentral:rRNA from 1 species